ACCGGCGGAUGGGUGCGUAACGCGUAUGCAACCUACCUUAUACAGGGGAAUAACCUUUCGAAAGGGAGACUAACACCCCAUAGUAUUACAAAUAGGCAUCUUUUUGUGAUUAAAUAUUUAUAGGUAUAAGAUGGGCAUGCGUAUGAUUAGCUAGUUGGUAAGGUAACGGCUUACCAAGGCGACGAUCAUUAGGGGUUCUGAGAGGAAGGUCCCCCACACUGGUACUGAGACACGGACCAGACUCCUACGGGAGGCAGCAGUGAGGAAUAUUGGUCAAUGGGCGCAAGCCUGAACCAGCCAUGCCGCGUGCAGGAAGACGGCCUUAUGGGUUGUAAACUGCUUUUACAUAAGACUAACCGUAUAUUUGCGAAUAUACCUGAAUGUAUUAUGAGAAUAAGGAUCGGCUAACUCCGUGCCAGCAGCCGCGGUAAUACGGAGGAUCCGAGCGUUAUCCGGAUUUAUUGGGUUUAAAGGGUGCGUAGGCUGACUGAUAAGUCAGCGGUGAAAAGCAUAGGCUUAACCUAUGUCUUGCCGUUGAUACUGUCAGACUAGAAUAUAAAUGGAGUAGGCGGAAUGAAUCAUGUAGAGGUGACAUUCAUAGAUAUGAUUUAGAACACCGUUCGCGAAGGCGGCUUACUAAGAUAUAAUUGACGCUGAUGCACGAAAGCGUGGGUAUCGAACAGGAUUAGAUACCCUGGUAGUCCACGCUGUAAACUAUGAUAACUCGUUGUCGG
rnacentral:rRNA from 1 species